AUACCUCAUCUAUAUUGGCUUAUAAUGUUGACACAACAUAUGAAGGUGCCAUUAGUUUUUCAGUGUGGACAGCUUUAGCUGGCUGUUUCGUUAUCACUCUCAUAAUCUACCAACAGCCCAUUAAAAUCUGUAAAUUUGUCUUGAACUGUGCAACAUUCCUACUGAGGCAAAAGCUGUGAAAGCACUGAUGAUGCUCAAGAGGAUUGAAGGUGUUGGGAUUUGACUUCUCAGCAUUUCAGAUCUUUUCUGAGGUGAAACCAAAGUGGGCUUAAACAGUCUCAGCUAACCUCCCAAAACUCAAAAAAAAAAGAAGGAAACAUAAUUUGAGCAUCAUUGCAAAAGAAGGAUGGCAGCGAGCCAGUCAGUCGGUCAGAUGCUUCUAAUUCUCAUUCGUCCCAAAUUGGCUCCGAGGGCCUUUUACCAGGAGUUCUGCUCAAGGGAAAGAAGAAGAGGGGAGAAAUGGGAGAGAGAAAAAAGAGAGACUAAUACAUUUGAAGUAAUACAUGAUAACCCCUUAUAACAAAAGAAACUAUCAUUUGUAAAGCAAAUGUUGGAACUGGACAGGAAGUCUGCUAAUCUGUAAUCCGAUGCGAGAGGAAGGAAGGGACUCAGGAACCAGCCUUCAGAGCUUUCACCAAUCAUAUUCAUCACAGAGCCCAGGCCCAGACUCAUUAGGCGACCAGUGCUGCACUUAACUAAACAUCUUUUCCAUAAAAUAAAUGCUUCCAGGUUACCCCGAGCCCAGGUCGCGCUCACAGCGCAUCUGAUCUCAAUUACCUAGCCGCUGAGGCUCAGGCCCUAGCCGUUGGCGGCAGCGGUGGUGGCUGGUGAUAUCGGACCUCAUCGUAUUUGUGAGCUGACAGUGCCAUGGCAACUAGGCAGGAGACUAAAGGUCUUGAAGUUGAUACUGAAGGAGGAAGGGAAGGCCAUUUAUAUAAAUAUAUCUAGGUGAGGUCUCCUGGUUUGAUGGGGUGAGCUGUCAUUCAUGUUUUAGAGGAGGGGUUGAGGCCAGGGGUAGGAGGAAGUGAUGUUAUUUAUAUGCGGCCUCAAAUUGCUUAGUUUUUUGGCCUCAGAUCUAACAUUUUACGCUUACACUUAUAUUUUAACUAGAUUUUUUAAUUAACUGAGCAUAUGCUGUAAAAAGAAUAGUGGAAAAGGGAAAACUAUUCAUAGCUGGACACAGCUGAAAAUCUUACAUUGUCGUUAUUUAUUUUCACUUAUUUUUUAACGCAGCUUUGCUUUUCCAGAACCAGAGGUGGAAUAAGUAACCUGUGCUUCAUAUAACUAUCGGGUGACUUUAUCUUUUAUCACUGUUCCCUGCUUAUACCAUAACAACACAUUUUCUUUCAGUCCCAGAGAC
ensembl:lncRNA